CCUACGGGUGGCAGCAGUGGGGGAUAUUGCACAAUGGGGGAAACCCUGAUGCAGCGACGCCGCGUGUGGGAAGACGGUCCUCUGGAUUGUAAACCACUUUCCCCAGGGACGAAGAUGACGGUACCUUGGGAGGACGCUCCUGCUAACUACGUACCCGCAGCCGCAGUCCUACGUAGGGAGCGAGCUUUUUCCGGAAUUACUGGGUGUAAAGGGAGCGUAGGCGGGGAUGCAAGUUGGGUGUCAAAACUACCGGCUCAACUGGUAGUCGCACUCAAAACUGCAGCUCUUGAGUGAAGUAGAGGCAGGCGGAAUGCGUAGUGUAGCGGUGAAAUGCGUAGAUAUUAGGAGGAACACCAGUGGCGAAGGCGGCCUGCUGGGCUUUUACUGACGCUGAGGCUCGAAAGUGUGGGGAGCAAACAGGAUUAGAUACCCCAGUAGUC
rnacentral:rRNA from 1 species